rfam:Lutzomyia longipalpis Contig19914, whole genome shotgun sequence.
AAAACGGCCCUUUUCAGGGCCACAAAUACAUCAAAAAUAGAGGGUU